UAUAGGUCAUUACAGAGUAUUAAGGAGAGUUCCUUGUGCUAUAUGGUAGGUUCUUAUUAAUUACCUAUUUUGUAUAUUGUAGUUUACAAAUG